GCGGGGCUGUGGGAUGCAGGCCCGAAGAGGCGGAGGGGAGAGGACGCGGGAAGCCAGUGUGCCCCGGACGCAGUGUCCUAGCGCUCAUCGGGUCAUCCUCUGCAGCCCAGAUUGUCCCUGUCCAAGACUGCGGAAUGAAGAAUCCAGAACCUGUGUGUAAGUCCUCUCUGGUCAGCAAAGGAAUCUGUGCAGAGCGCCAUGAAUUAGAGGAUGGGGGAAUGAGUGCUUGAAGAUGCCCGAGGUAUGGUCCUUAUCCGUGUGACAUUUGGAGGUCCAGGUGAGAAAUCAGGGUUGAAAACUGCAUGGAGGAUUCAUCAUUUCUGCCCUGAAUUGGAAUCAAUUCCUUAUUGACUUAUUAUUACUGUAUUAAAAGUGUUUUUAAUUAACCAUGGUAUUUGUUUGGGUAAGAUCUUUAUUUUGGUAAGUUUUUACCAGAGCUUAUAAAUGAUCAUAUACUC
rnacentral:lncRNA from 1 species